CAGUCGCCGCGGUAAUACGAAGGGUGCAAGCGUUAAUCGGAAUUACUGGGCGUAAAGCGUGCGUAGGCGGUGAGUUAAGUCUGCUGUGAAAUCCCCGGGCUCAACCUGGGAAUGGCAGUGGAUACUGGCAAGCUAGAGUGUGUCAGAGGAUGGUGGAAUUCCCGGUGUAGCGGUGAAAUGCGUAGAGAUCGGGAGGAACAUCAGUGGCGAAGGCGGCCAUCUGGGACAACACUGACGCUGAGGCACGAAAGCGUGGGGAGCAAACAGGAUUAGAUACCCCAGUAGUCCCUGUCUCUUAUAA
rnacentral:rRNA from 1 species